rnacentral:lncRNA from 1 species
AAGGAGUAAACAAAGUAUUUUCUGCAUUGUGACUCAGUGGUGAAUUAAUAAAAUAAGUAAUAUUUACAUUGUAUAAAUAGUUUAGUACCCAUAAUCUGGUCAUGUCAAUUUAGGAGGCAAGCCACACACCUAAAAAUAGGGUAUUUCAAGUUAACAUUUAGGAUAAAAAUGAAUGAUCAUCAAAUGAACAGAAUAGAAACAACAGAAUUGUCUUGAAUUACAGUAAAGGCCUUAUUAACUCUAACAGUUUGUCCAAACUGUGCACAGAAUGGUGUAAAAUGUGGGGAUAACAGGAAACCUCAGCUUUCACAAUGUUGCUGGCAUCUACAAAUGUACAGUUUUGUGCAAGUACACAUUCUAAAAAGUUAUUUGUUCAGACAUAUGGAUAUAUGAUGCUUAUUUCAACACUACGCAUUGUCAGCAUGCAAAAUGUGAACUAAAUCAACCUAAGUUUAUACAAAACACUGACAUUUUACUGUGAAAUAAGUUAUGCAAAAAAAUCUGAAAUGCACUUAAUGCAUGUCAAUCUUCUGUUGAUUCUAUUGAUCUUUCUCCACAGGAAGCUCUGUUUCCUCAUUCUGUAACUCAAGAUCAAAUUAGUUUUGUAUUACAAGAGCUGCAACCAUGGAUAUGUUAACUAUCAUUAUCCUGAUGGUUCUUUUGAGAAAAUGUCAUGGGAACACUUAUCUACACUUCCAAGAAGAAGAAGAAGAAGAAGGAGAAAUAACAAUACCAUUCCAGUGUGAACAGGGACUUUGGCAAAUUGACAUAAACAACGACAACAUAGUGGAUUAUAACUGCAGUAUUACCAAGGAAAAUAUGUGGAAAGAAUGUGAACUUAAGGACUUUAAGUUGGUUAAAAAGACAGAAGAAAAUGUAUUUCUGUUGGAAACAGACAGCAGCGCAAUCUUGGGAUGUGUUCACAAUCACACUUCAAUAUCUAUAUUUCCCUUUAUUUUGUCAAGAGACCAGGUGGAUUCCUUUAUCGUGGCAUUUACUAAACCAGAGAUGGUGAGUGGUGGGCCUGAUGUGGAAACAAAAACCAUUGUCACCAAGCGCCAAGAAGAAACAGUCGAUCUUAUAUGUAAUUUCAAAUUAACUGAUCAAUAUUCUAAAGGUUAC